GACACUUGUGAUCAUGUUUGACGUUCGCUUAGUCGACAAAAACACCACAGGGGUUUCCAGGGGGUGGGAAACUCGGCUCAUUUGAAAUUGUGCCGAAAUGUGCCGACUGUGCGAGAGUGAGCGAACGAAUUAAAAUGUCACAUUUGUCUGGUUGCACUGCAAAAACUGGCAACUGUGAUCGUUUCGUGACAGAUUGUUUUUGUUUUUUUUUCGAAAACUUCGAGACCCCAAAGCUAAAGUUUUUACUUUCCGGAAGCGUUAUUAACAUUUCUGAACAUAUUUUGUCCGCUGGCAGAGGAAUCGAGUGGAUUAUUAUCGCUCAUUUGGAUGCCCACCAGGGCAACGGAUAUUCAAAAAAUCUGAUGGAUGGACUGGCGAUAGAAAGAUGAGGAGUACUUGCGGAAGCUGAUAAUCUUAUUGAGAACGAAACCGCCCCUAUUCGCCAGCACCGAUAUGCUGAAGAAUGACCUGGUGAGGGUACUGGUUAUCACCAGCCAGGUAGUGGUCGAAAGAGACGAGAUCGUUCAUGAGAUGGACCGCGCCGUGACGCUGCUGAUGCUUCUCAUCCGAGGUGAUUUUCGAAGCUAAGCGUGGAUCAUUGUGGACUCGAUUAUUAAUUUGCAUGCCAAAGACUUGCUAAAGGUGAGAUAGUAAUAGAGAAGUAGUUGGCUUCAAAUUAAAUUAAAUAAACAUUUCAUGUUUGUAUCCUUCAAUGUACCUAUCCUAUUAGUGGUUUUUGAUAUCUAACAAUAAAUGUUGUACAUACAA
rnacentral:lncRNA from 1 species